CUUCGUACCCAACUUUAAAAAAAAAAGGGGACGAGUUCCAGACUCCAGUGAUUUGGAACUUUGUUCUUUAUUUAUGAAAUUAAGCCCAACCUCUUUGUUUUGGCCCAAUAUCCCAAAAUCGGACGUGGAGCUCAGGAAGAACGACCCAUCGAACAGGAACAUAUAAACUACGGUUGAGGUACUGUUGGGGACCACGGAAACGAGUAGUGGCGAGGAUUUCACUAUUACAAAGUUCACCUAAGUUAAUGUUAAGUUGUAACAAGUUUAAGUACAGAUUCUUGAUUAAGUUACGUACUUUUAUUAAGGAAACAAAAAGGAUUAUUAUGUUAAUUUUGGAAUUUAAUAGCUUAUGAUAGAUGGUUUCCUUGUAAUUCCCAAAAGGGAGUUACGGCAGUAAUGUCCCGACCAAAUUAGGUUAAUUCCGCUGCUAAGUAUGCUUUAAUAAGUGAUUUAGAGGUCGGGGUGUUACAAUCACCUACUUUAACAAUCAACCAACACUAUCACUCCCUAAGUCAAAGAAUUAAACCUGAUAAUCCGAGUCUCUGAAACUGGAAGAAAUUAAGAAACCUCAAAAUUAACUUUGAGCAAGUGAGUCAAUCAUCAAUCGACUGCUACUGAACUGAUGCAUAUUAAUUAACAUUGACAUUGUGUAGUUAAGAACUUGAGAUAUUGUAAUUUGGGCGAGUUUAGUACUUUAAACUGUAAAGUGUUUAAGGAAAGACAAAUUUGAUUUUUUGGAGAUAUUGUUCGAUAAAAAGUUGGGGUUUUGAAUUUGGAGAAUUUUCGACUUGGUAAUCAAUUCAUACCAAUUAGGUUUC